GAGAGCCUCAGUGAACCACAAGACAGAGCAAAUGCUCCAGACCACAGGGCUCCAGCAACUCUGGCUGGGAAAGGUGCCUCACCAAAGCCAGGAUGAUUGCAACUGUUUAUGAGACCUGAUAGCAUCCAUUUUAAUAAGUCACAGCUAUAGAAGAGACCCACCACAAAACAAAGCUGGAAAAAUCUGAAAUGUGCAACUUAAGUGAACUGCUCUGAAGAAGCAACCCCACACCCAGCAUGUAAAGCUGUGCUACCUUGUUCCAUUGAUGGCAUGGCAUACACCACACCAAGAAUGCAGAGAAACCAGGCCAAACACACAGGGAAAUAUUAAAUGAAGAGAGAAGCAGUUAUUAGGAAAGUAAUACGUGAAUGGAAAAUACUAUAGGAAGAAUGAGUACAACGUGGGAACCACGGGAAUGGCCCACCAGAUGAGAAGACUGCAGUUACCAAAUAGGCCAAACUGCCAAGAGUAGUGCAGUAAAUUUCCAUCUCAAAAGAAGCUAGUGGAAGAAAAAACAGAGUUAGAGAAAAAUCCCCUUAUUUUCAUUUUUAGUUAAUCUUUAUCCCAUCAUUGAUGGAGAGUUUUGCAAUCUGGGCAGGAAGCAGAGACACCCACUCCUACAGGCAGAAAGAUGCAUUUGACGUGAGGCAUUUUCUGGGAUGCUCAUUGAACUGAAAAUCCCCUUUGUAGGUGAAGUCCACAAAUAUGACUAGAAGUCUGCAAGCCCAGGACCAUAUCACAACCUAUACAGGGUCUGUAUGCAUGGAGGGCUACCACAAGGCUGCAGGUUUCUCUGGCCUCAGACAACCUGGUAGCAGGGGAAGCACACUGUGCAGGGGUGUGCUGGAGCACUUUCUGCAGUGGCCCAUCCAGAGCUGCAGAGGAGUAAGCUCAUCUAAUAACAAUGGGUCUGGUCCAUUUCUUAAGAAACACUUCAGCCAACAAAUGACAUUGGAAAGAAAAACUGAUGGAAGAAGUAUCAUUCUUUACAGUAAAUUUGUACAUUAACAAGAUUCCUUCUCAUCUGGCAUUUCAGUUUAGUCAGCAGGUACUUUUUAUCAUAUUCUCAGAUAUCACGUCCAUAAUAGAAAGGCAUUAAAUGAUCCAACACAGUCAAUUGACAUCUAUGAAGCAUGUUAAAUAUUUAUGUCUUGUUUG
rnacentral:lncRNA from 1 species